rnacentral:lncRNA from 1 species
ACAAUUCUCUCUAAACAACUUGUAAAUCUCUUUUUGUCUCUAGUGUUUUGCUAGAGUUUUUGUUUAUAUAUCUUUGUUGUUGACGGUUUCAAAAAAAAAAAACAAAAACUCACUACAUUAUACGGAAUACAUGUGUGAGCAGCUCGUGAAUGGCUUGACAAAGCCAAGUCACGCGUGAGACGCCAAGGAACACCGUCCCCAACCUACGUAAUUGGUUGAGGAUCUCUUGGGAUUUAUUUAUUGUUGCUUUUCUGAAUGCCAAAAUUUGUUAAUAAAUCUCUUGAGACAUUUAGAUUGGUUUUUUUAGGUAGAGGAUUGUGAGCGAAAUCUCUAUUAGGUGAAAUGGGAUAUUGUCUUGGCUAACAAAAUAAGGUGGGGUGGGAAUUUGUCACACCCCAAAACCGGAACGGCGGAAACGUUCUGGGGCGGAGGACAUCAUGUACAGUAUCACAACACAGAAUAAUAGUAAACAAGCAAACAACAUCAUCCAUUGCAUUAAUAAUGUAUUUUAAUACAAGUGUGUUCUCUAUAGUUUAUAAGACACCAAAAAUAUGAAUCAAAAUAAAAUAUAAGUCUUGCAUGUGCUCCAUCUUCUCAAAAGUUGGCAUCGGUACCUGUCUACUUAUGACCUGAGAAUACAAGUUAUUUUGAAAGAGUUUAUCAGCUUUAAAGCUGGUGAGUUCAUAAGCAUUUUAGUGUCAUUGUUUGUAUGAAAAUGUUUGUAAGUGUUUGAAUGUAUAAGUUUGUAAAUGUUUGUAGUAAAUAUUUGUAUCUCCUAGAAAAUCCUAUAUUUUCUACUAAAAGUAGCCUUCUACCAAGGCAUCAAAUGUAUUGUACGUUUGUUAUUGUAAAAGUGAAUAUUCCUCCCAAAUGUGACUAUCAUUAAUAAAAUAUAGUUUUUACAUUACCAUUAAGAUCAUAAAGUGAAUGUAAUGGGAAAAAUAAUGAAGUACUGUAGUAUUAUGUUAUAGUAACUACUUAUGUACUGACUACCUUAAACCAAUUGUUAAUUAAGGUAUAAUGUGAUAUAAUUGUAACCAUACUUGAUCGACCUAGUAAAACACGACGCUCGAAGACAUCGAGAUGGUAUGACAUUCAUCACCCGAAGACCUGCAGGUCCUACUGUAGCUAGCAGCAAGGUGUAGGACGGUCAGUCCAGUAUAGAUCUAUACACAAAUUCACGUUCUCCGUUCAGAAGACUUUGGUUACAAGUCGAUCCAUGACAGAGAUGCCAUGCCCCGUAGUAGUGCCUCAUAUUUAUGUUAUAGUAUGUAUGUAUUGUAUGUACUAGUGUAGUGUAUGUUCUCUCUAAUUCCCAUCAUAGUAUGUUCUUUUGUAUAGUAUAUGGUGUGUAUGUAUUAUAUGUACUAGUGUAGUGUAUGUUCUCUCUGUAUAGUGUAUAGUAUGUAUUGACUCAUGUGUGAAUUGACUCUUGGUAUGUUUCAUUGUACUAGAAAAUAGUAAGUAGUAUACCUCUAAACUAUACCUAUUAUAGUUUACUAGAAAUGUUGUUUGAAUGACUUAGUAAGUUUAUACACCUUUGCUACCCAAAGGUGAUGGAACUGAGGUAAAAGCUUUAUAUAUAUACAUAUAUACAUAAUANUAUAUAUAUAAUAUAUACAUAAUAUAUAACUAAGGAUCAAACGACACUCGGACAAACAACAUGGUACUCUAAGUCCACAACCAAACAAGGAACAGGAAUUAAAGUGAGUUAUCAGUCCUAAGUCCUUCAAACCUUACUUGUAUAACUAUAUUUGUAUUAAACAUGAUUUUGACAAUGUAUUUGUUUAAAGAAUUGAAAGUAAAGAUUUGGUAACUAAGAUCAAGUUUUAUAAAGAGUUUAACAUGUAAAAGAGUUUGAUAAUCAUUUUAAAAUAGUUUUUGUUGACAAAAACAGUUAAAAGUAUAGUAAAUCCAAUUGUUUGAUAGUUAUAAAUCACAUGUGAUUAAUAUUAUAACUAUAAUGAUUCAGCUUGUAUUCCCCCCCCCCCUCCAUAAAAGCAUUUAAAAACAUUUAAAAGGUUAAUUAAGGGGUAUGAACUCACCUACAGUGAGUGGUUUGGAUGAAAUUGAUGUAUAGGAUGCUAAGUGCCAAGUGAAGACUUGAAUACACACACGGAUCCUAGUUAGCACAUAAUGACACACAUAUGCAUCUAAUUAGUGAUUAAACAACUAAUUAAGCAAGUAUAGACACCUUAGAACAUGGACAACACUUUGAUUCAAGUACUAGAAGUACAAAAGGGUUGCAUCUAAGGGUUGUAGGGCCUCACUUUGGAGUUUACGGCCCAAGUGUAAACUCCCCAUGAGUUCACGACCAUGGGUUUACGGACCUAAUGAGUUUACGGCUGUAAACUCAUGGUGACUUGUACCAUUUUGAUGUUUAAGGUCCUUAACUCAACUUGGAAGUGUUAUAGACCUAGUUCCAAUGCUAAGGAAAGAGGUGUGGCAACCUUGCACACAUCAUUAGGGUUUACGGCCAAUGGAGAUUACCUUGGCCGUAAACACCCUUUGUUCUUGAUUUCUUGGUGUUUUCAAGUCCUUGAUUCAUCAAUCUAACUAACAAACAUGUAUAGGAGGUAGGGACUUACAUUUUGAAGGCUAAUGGAGGGUGUUUUCGGCCCAAAACACUUAAGUGUUCUUGGUUUUCUUGAUGAUCUUGAAGAUCUAGUUUCCAAAGAUGAAAUUUGUUGUGACAACCCGAAAUUUUCAUUCGUACAAACCUAUAGUCAAGCACUUCAAAUAAAAUUCAAAUACAUUUAUACUAAUUUUUAGUCAGUUUAAAGUCCGUUUGGGUGUUUUCAGUAUUUAUUCUUCAACGAACGAAAGAAAGGAAGUACUUUCUCGGGUAUUGGAGUAGCAAACCCACACUUAGCACCCUAAUAAGGAGUUCACAGUCAAACUUUUGGAUUUUGGGCCGUAAACUCCCUUGAGGCCGCAAACUCAUGAUUAAGGCAUGAGUUUACUCUUCAUUCUUUGAUUCUCCAACAUUCCACCUCAAGAACCCCCACCAUUCUCUCUCAAGUAUCAUCCCACUCUUCUCCCAAUCUUCCGAAAAUGUAAGUGUUUAUUCACUUGAUUUGUUGUUAUGACAUUACAUCUAGUUGUUAUACAUCAUUUCAUCCAUACAUUCUUGAUUUUCACUUAGGUCUUCAAGUGUUCUUCAAAACACCAAGAACACACACUAAUGUUCUUGGACCUUAAACACCCAAUCAAGCUUCUAUCUUGUAAGUACACUUGUCAUAGCUUGUCAUGUACUUAAAUGAACUUAUUUACACUUAGAAAACACCUAAGAAAACAUAAGAUCAAAGGUGUUUACGGCCAAGGCAUGUUCUUGGGCCGUAAACCCUUAAAAGAGGGGCAAAGUGCACCCUAGUCCCUUGCUUGGCCUUGUAUACUAGUCUAGAUCACUUCCUUGAAGUGUUUAGGACCUUAAACAUCAAAGAAACCAAGUCCACAUAGAGUUUACGACCAUAAACUCAUAAGGAAAUGGUCCUUAGGUCGUAAACUCUAUAAAGAGGUGAUAUUGUGCCCCUAAUGCUUCCUAAAGCUUGGACUUGAUCAUAGAAUGCUUACUCAUGACUUAUAAGACCUUAAAUCACCAAAUGACACUUAGUACCAUGAGUUUACGACCGUAAACUCAUGGGGGAAAUGACCUUAGGCCGUAAACUCCAUAAGGAGUGGUCCUUGGGCCAUAAACUCCAAUGCCAUGCCAUGCAACCUUUAGAUGCAACCCUUUGGUACCUAUAUCACUUGAAUCAAAGUGUUUCCAUGUACUAGGGUGUAUUAACUUAGUUAAUUAGUUGUUAAAUGACUAAUUGGAUACAUAUAUGUGUUAUUAUAUGUUAUUUAGGAUCAUUGUGUGUGUUCAAGUCUUCACUUGACACCUAGCACCUUGUCCGACACUUCCAUCCAAUCCACUCACUACGGGUGAGUUCAUACCCCUUAAUUAACCUUUUAAAUGUUUUUAAAUGCUUUUAUGGGGGAAUACAAGUUGAAUCAUACUAGUUAUUAUAUCAAUCAUAUGUGAUUAAUAACUAGCAUACAAAUGGAUUUACUACACUUUUAGCUGUUUUACUCAAUAUACUACUUCAAAAUGAUUUCUCAAAACGUUUUUACAUAUUAAAUUCUUUAUCAAACUGUCUUACAACUAUAUCUUUCCUUUCAAAAUCUGUUAUAACUACGUUUCAAACAAAGGUUUUCAUGUACUUCAAGAUGUGUUUCCAACAAAGGAUUCUUAUACUCUAUACUGUUCUUAUCAAACAAACUGCUUUUAAAUCAUUUUAUAGACUGACGCCAAGUCAUCAAUUCUUAUUUAUUAAACUUUUCAAAGGUUUUACAAAACUUCUUUUAAACUUUUAUAUUGUCAAAUGCAUGCCUAUAUAUUAUGUAUACAUACAUAGACAUAAAGGUUCUAUCAGUCAAUUCAGUAUCUUUGGGUAGCAAAGGUAUACUUUCGGUUAUACACGUACAUUACUAGUAACUAUAAUAGGCAUAGUUAGGAGAUACUACUUACUAUUCCUAGUACAAGAAAUCACAAAAGAGUCAGUUCAUUCAUGAGUCUAUACAAAUAUAUUACAUACUAUAUGAAGAGAUACUAUUACAUACUAUAUGAAGAGAUACUAUUACAUACUAUAUGAAGAGAUACUAUUACAUACCAUAUGAAGAGAAACUAUUACAUACUACAUGAAGAGAUACUAUUACAUACGAUACGGGACUGACCAUUCUACACCCAGCUGUUAGCUACAGUGGGAAAAUGCACAUCGACGGAUGUCUACGGUAGUACUGUUCGACGAGUUACCAUGCCGUGUUUAUCCUAAGACAAAAGGAUACGAUUGCAAUAAUUAUAUUAUUUUCCUUAUUACCUUUAUUUUGUGACACAUUCACAUAAUCGAUGAGGUACACUAGAUUUUAAUAAUAAUAGUUGUACAAGGGAAAAACCUUCAUUUUUGCAGAGGUUCAAACCUUCAAAACAGUCGGGUCUUGGUAGAAGACUACUUUUUAUACUAGUAGGAAAUAUGAGAUUUUCUAGGAUUUUUAUACUUAUACAAACUUUUUCUCAAACAAUCAAGUCUUUCAUUACAGUCUUUACAAAUCAAUGACACUAAAAUACUUAUGAAUUUACCAACUUUAUGCUGAUCUAUGCUUUCAAAAUAACUUGUAUUCUUAGGUCACUAGUAGACAGGUACGAUGACCAGGUUUUGAGAAGACGGAGCAGUCAAGACUCGUCUUUAUUUUGAUUACUUAUUUUCAUGUCUUUUUCUAUGAAAGAACACACAUGUAUUAAAAUCUUACUAUUAAUGCAAUGGAUGAUGUUGUUGCUUGUUUACUACUUUACACUGUUGUUGUAACGCCUGUGUUUUCGGGCUUGCCAUUUUUAGCAAUGUAAUAGUCUAGGUUAACCUUUGUAACCCGUUUUGAAAUAAUAAGAGUGUAUUAUUUGAGUAUUAUGUGUUUUGUGCUUAAUUGCUUAAUUAUGUGGUUUGAUUAAUUAAGAAUAAAAAUAAGCGUCAAAAUUUAAGUGUAAAAUAAACUUGAUAUCUUUGGAUAAUGUUGUAGUAGUUGAAACGAGGUUUCCAAAUAUAUAUAGAUAGCCCAAAUCUGACUUCGUAUGAGGAAGUUAUGAUUUAUCGAAGUUCCGGCUUAGCGAUAUACAGCCUGUUUUACUCGAUUUGAGAUCGAGCGGUUGUUAGCCGAAGCAAUCUAAAUGAGAAUCGAAGAUCUCAUUGUUGGUAUCGAAGCGAUAAAAAGUUAGGCGAGAACGGACGUCAAACGAAGAAGUUAUGAAUUUAUAACGAAAGUUUCUGUCGCGGCCUAUUAAAAAUAAUUAAUAAAAAUAAAGUCAAAAUUAGCCGACGGAGUCUAAACGAAAGUCGUAGAGCGUGGUCUCACCUUCGCGUGGAUAUAAAGAACGUCGAAAACGGAGUUCGUAUGAAGAAGUUAUGAAUUUCCGAAGUUUAUUAAUCAUUUUGUAUUUAUAUUUAAAUCAAAAUUCGGAAGCAUUAUCCGAAGGAGUCACCGAUCUGAUCCGAGGUACGCCCCGCGUACUCGAGUACGCCCCGCGUACUCCGAGGGAUGUCGACACUCGCACUCGAGCACUUCGGAUACGUAAGCAAUGACGUUUUGGGCAGUACGCCCCGCGUAACGCAGUACGCCCCGCGUACUCCGAGGCUCCAGCCUCCUAUAAAUAGGAUGCGAGGGUUCCGGGUAUUUUUGCCAAUUCCCUCUCGUUUUCGUGUCGAAGCUCUGUGCAAAAACCCCCGAAGCUACCCCGAAGCCCCGGUAUCAUACUCUAGCCCCGAGGCAAGUCCCGAGAUCCCGAAGAUCCCGAGAAGUGCGGUUCCCGAGUCGAAGCUCUGCCCGCGAGAAGUUCGAUUUUCGAGGAGAUCUUCCAGAUCUGCUGAGGAAUACUACUUCUAUAAGCCGUAGUGCUGUCCGAUCAUCUUCUGAUCAAGUGAGUGUGUAGUUAUUUCUUCUAAUACAAUAAUACGAAGUAUUUUAUAUAAAAAUACGUGCUAUGUGUAUAUAUUUGGUUGUGUUAUGUGUGAAUGAGUAUUCACUCUCUUCUAUCUUAUAGAUCUGCUUAUUUCUUUAUGAGAUAUGUGUUAUGUGUGUGUGUGCCUCAUCUGUUAUGUGAUAUAUGUGUUGAUUAAAGCAUGCUAUACAGGUUUUCUUUAAACUAUGUAUACAAAUGUAUAUUUUUAUCUACUAAUAUGUUGGGUAGAACAUGGGUAGACAGUUGGUGUGUAAUAAACAGAUGAGAGGCCUCGUUGUUGUUUGAUUGAGUCAUCUAGCGGAGUUUAGAUGACGACCACUGGCUAUUCUAGACAGUCUUGUGGAAACAUUAGCAGGUUCGCCACCUGUAGGUGUUAAUGAACUUGGGUGUUCAUUCGCUGUACUCCAUCCCCCUCAUGGUUGCCUUAUUUGACUUAUAUUGCUGAGGAACCCCCGAAGCAUGUGUUGUCGCCCCGAUGAAAUAUUCUUAGACUAGGUCCCUUAUGUUAGUUGUUUUAGGGACAUAAAGUGAGAAUAACGGGAAUGGGUAAUUGGGUUAUUGUUGGUUGGUGGAAAUUAAAUAUAAUUAUUUAUUGUGGGUUGAAAACCCUAUAUGCUCACCAGGCUCCCAAGCCUGACCCACUCAGUUUUAUUUGUAUUACAGGAAGUGGCGCGAGGGCAUAAGAUGGAUGAACCAUCAAGUUGUUUUGUUUACAAGUCUGUAUAUGUAUAUAUUUGUUGAAUGACUUGUAAUGUUAUCGUUUAUGCUUAUUGGUCUGUAUCGGAACAUGACACCCCGAGUUUUGAUUAUAUAAUGAAAAUACAUUUCUUUUAUGAAAUGCUUUGGUAAACAUUGUUUUAUCAUGUUUUGUUUUUGGGAACAAAUUUCGCAACUCUUUCAAAUCAAAAGGAUUUACUCUGAAAUUAUUUUAAAAACAUAAAUGAAAAUCGGUCUUUUCUGGCCGAGAUUUUGAGGAUGUCACAGUUGUGAUGCUUUACAUGACGUCCUCCGCCCCAGAACGUUUCCGUCGUUCUUGGUUUUGGGGUGUGACAGUUAUGGAUGGAUUCAAGCAUGAAUCAAGAAGAAGUGAUGUAUAACACAUAGAUGUAGUGAUUUACUUACAUUUUUGGAAGAUUGGAAGCAAAAGUGUCAAGAUCCUUGAGAGAAAAUUCUGAAUUCUUGGGCUUGGAAGGUGAAAAGUGAUUAAAACUCACUAAGGAUCAUAUAUAUACCCUGGAGUUUACGGCCACCUUGAGUUUACGGCCGUAAACUCAAUGGUCUUGGUCGUAAACUCCUAUUUCGAGGGCUUAAGGCUUUUUUGGUAAUUUACAAAUCCAAUAGACACUUCCUUUCACUCAUUCCUUUGGUUUAUUAAGCUCAGAAUGCUCAUACAGACUCAACACAAUGCUAAAAGUUAGCAGAAGCAAGUUUGACUUUUAUUGAAAUGUAGGGUUUGUACAAAUAGAAAUUUUGGGUUGUCACAAAAUUGAUUUUUGUAUAUUUGUUUAAUGUUUUUAAAUGGAAGUGGAAAUUCUUAAAUAAUUCGAAUGGCUUAUGGUGCAUGGUCUUUCUAACAUCCGAAUUUUCAAACCAAUUUUUUUCAUUUUUAAAUCCAUAGAAAACAGUUUUCAUAAAAACCAUCCCAAGAAAAGUCAUGAUGUCAAAUACAAUUUCACAUCAAAAUAUCAGAGUGUCCCAAAAUAUCCAAUAACAAAAUCUCUCAUUUAAUGUGUACAUCAAGCCUUCAUCUUCCCGCGAUCCUCAAAAGUACCUUAAACACAUUUAAUCAACAACUGCAAGCACAAAGCAUAGUGAGUUCCCCAAAAUAUCACAUACAACACAACACAUAAAGCAGUUAUGGGUUAUCAGCAACCCUGGAGACUACUCGAAGUCUCAGUGGGCAAACAACACGCCAUGUGGUUUAUCAGCAACCCUGGAUACUACUCAAAGUCUUGGCACACAUAAGGUAACACAUAUCAAAGUAAUAACACAUAGACCCAGUUGGUCAUCACAUAAAUAAAUCUAUACUAACACACAUGUACGAAUAAGUGAAAAGACUCACCUUGUACAACUAACUAAUAGAAACUCACGCCCAAACUUCCGGAACUAGACUCCGCCAAUCAACUAUACCAAUUAACCCUAAUGAAUAAUUAAGGUAACUUUCAUACUUCACUAAUCCCAAGCCAAGUCUAAUACAUAGUUUGGGCAAAAAACCACUUUCCCCUCACAAUAUCCAAACCCUCACAACUUGUCAAAAGGGCAUACUUUGUCAAAAGUCAAUGAAAGUCAACGGCGGCCGUACAUACGAGGUACACUUCUCUACGUUGGGCGUAGAGCAUUGGGCAGGCGGAGACGGGUUUGCAACUGGUUACGUUGAGCAUAGCCAGAAGUACGCUCGACGUACACGGCAUAUUUCAACAUUACANUAUAUAUAUAUAUACAACUAUUCUACCACACAUGUAAGAAUAAGUGAGGAGAAUCACCUGGUACUGAUGAUUGAUACUACUCACACCCGAACUGCCAUAACUAUACCUCGCCUAAUUAAAUACACCAACUAACCCUAAUUAAUAAUUAAGGUAUUCACACACACACACACACACACCACUGAACUCAUACAAGUCUAGUCCACACCUAGAGUAGAAGACUGCUUUGCCCCUACAAAACCCCUCACAAUCCAUCUAAGACACAAAUGUUCCAAGUUAACAAAAGUGAACAAAAGUUAAUAGUCUCCCAUAACCAGUAUGUUGGGCGUAAUCACUCUACGUGAGACGUAGAACGCAAGGCAAGAGGGAUGGGCUCGAAUCUGGCUAUGUUGGGCAUAGCCAGGUGUACGCUCAGCGUACAUAAGCUAAUAUCAACACUUCUGAUGCAAACGUCUUAAUCAUUAAUACAUCCAUUCCAAACACAAAUCUAGCCCCUAAAGAACUUCUUAAGCUAUAAAGUUUUUGAAUUUAAGCCUUUGCAUGGAUACAAGGAGAUAAAGCCCAAAAACCCUAACUUCUUACCUCAUUAAAACCCCGUAUCUCUUGCAUGGAGGAAAAUGAAUGACCAAGAUAACAUUUUUAUGACUUUAUACAUCUUAGAAUCGCUGGAAGGAUGAAUUAAUAGCUCUGGAUUACUCCAUACUCGUAAAGAUCAAAGCUUUGGGACAUAAAGAACCAAAAUGCAAGGCUAAGAAAUAUCUAACUAAAUGAGCUCCAAGAUUUGAACUUUAUACCUUGAAAAUGUGCACAAAGAGAUGAAGUUGUUGAAUCUACAAGCUAUAAUGCACCACCACCACUUGAAUGAUCAUCCUUCUUACACCAAAACACUAAACAAUCACUUUCCAAGCUUCAAAACACUCUCACAAGGUUAGGGUUCCGAUAUAGUGUUUAGAGGCAAUAAAGGCUAGAUAAGAUGAUGUCAAAGGGAGGGAUAAGAUGAUUAAAUAUGGGUCACACCCUAAAAUUUACGAUUUAGCAUCUGCAUGAGUACACCCGUUGUACUCACACGUACAACUAAUGUACCCCCUCUUCCGCCUUGACUACCUCGAAGACCUACGUUCGACGUACAUGGCUAGUACGCCCAACUUAAGUGGCCAAAAUGCAAAUUACAUUAACUUCAAGGGCUGAAAAUAAAAUACCUGACAACGGGUAUUACAAAUCUCCCCCACUAGAAUCAAACUUCGCCCUCGAAGUCAAGCAUCUCCGCCUCGGGCUCCCAAGUCCACUCUGAGCCCUUCCGAUGUUGCCAAUGAACCCUGACCAGGUUCACUACCUUAUUCCUAAAUGUCUUCACCUUCCUAUCCAUAAUUGCAAUCGGGCUCUCAAUAUAGUUCAGGCUAUCAUCGAUCUGAAUGUCCUCCAAAGGAACCAAAAUUGUCUCAUCAGCUAUACACUUCCUCAACUGGAAAACAUGGAAGGUAUCAUGGUUAUGACUUAACUACUCAUGGAGCUCCAGCCGGUAAUCCAGCUUGCCCACACGGACUAACACUCUUAAAGGGCCAAUAAACUUGGUCCCCAACUUGACCCGCUUCCUAAAUUGAAUAACGCCCUUCCAUGUUGAUACUUUCAGAAAAACCAAAUCACCAACCCAAAAUUCCAACUCAGAGCGUCGCCGGUCCGCAUAACUCUUCUGAUGACUUUGAGUCGUUAGUAAUCUCUGUCUGACUUGCUGAAUAAGCUCAGUCGUCUUCAACACUAUCUCAGUGUUCCACAUGACUCUCUAUCUGACUUCUCCCUAACAAAUAGAAGUCUGACACUUCCUCCCAUACAAAAGAUCAAAGGGAGGCAUGCCAAUGUUGGCAUGAUGGUUGUUUUUGUAAGAAAACUCAGUCAAAGGGAGGUAAGAGUCCCAACUCCCACCAAAAUCAAUGAUGCACGAAUGAAACAUAUCUUCAAUCGUCUGAAUAGUCCGCUUACUCUGCCCAUCAGUUUGCGGAUGGUACGCGGUACUGAAAUGCAAUCGGGUGCCCAAUUCUUCGUGAAACCUCUUCCAAAACCUGGAAGUAAAUCGAAGAUACAUAUCCGACACAGUAGAAUUCGGCACCCCAUGUCGAGCCACCACUUAUCAAACAUAAAUCUCAUCUAACUUAUCGGAAAAAAAGAGCCCCUCACUUAUGUCUAAGAAGUGAGCGCUCUUCGUCAAGCGGUCAACUAUCACCCAGAUAACAUCAACUCCUUUUGCAGUAUUUGACAAUUUUGUGAUGAAAUCCAUUUUGAUUUGUUCUUACUUCCAUAAUGGAACCCCUAAAGGCUGCAAAUUGUCAUGAGGACGUUGGUGCUUAGCCUUCACCUUCCAACCGAUCAAGCAUCGCUCUACAAACCAGGCCACAUCCAUCUUCAUACACGACCGCCAAUAAUUAUGCUUCAAGUGAAGAUACAUCUUGGUAGCCCCCCCCCCCAAAUGAAUGGAGAAUAUCAACUUGUGGGACUCCCCCAUCAACACCCAUCAAACCCUACCUGCAUGCGGUACCCAAACUCGUCCAUGAAGAGUCAAAAGCCCUAUGUUGUCGAUAUCAAAGGUUGAAACCUGACCGAUCACUCGCUCACUCUUCCGAUUCUAUUUUUUAUGGCCUCUGACUGCGCUUCUUUGAUCAUUUCCAAAACUAUGGUCAUCACAGUCAUCCUUAAACACACAUCGUAAAUCGGGGUACUGACCGCCCUCCGAACCAAGGCGUCGGCUACCAGAUUGGCCUUGAAUGGGUGAUAUGUGAUCUCAUAGUCAUAAUAUUUCACUACAUCCAACCACCUCCUCUGCCUCAUGUUCAUGUUAGGCUAGUCCAUAAGAUAUCUCAGGCUCUUAUGGUUCGUAUAGAUAGUACACUGAACUCCAUAAAAGGUAAUGAUGCCAAAUCUUGAGAUCAAAAAUCGCCGCCCCCAAUUCCAAAUUAUGGGUGGGAUACUCCGCAUAAUGAGGCUUCAUUUGCCUCGAAGACUAUGCAAUCACAUGCCCAUUUGCAUCAACACAACACCCAACCCUAAAAUGGAGGCAUCACCACAAAAUCCCCAACUCCCUCCGAGAGGGCAAGUACCGAUGCCUUACAAGUACCAGGGCCCGAUGCCGGACUUCUUCUGGUGCCAGGGGAGGGGGUGAAGCGGGCAAGGCCUUCGAUUUUUCUAUUAUGUGAUUAUGUGCAUGGUAUGUGGUAGUUUGGGGAGACUCACUAAACUUUGUGUUUACAGUUUUCAGUUUUGGUUACAGGUACUUCCGGUAGCAAGGGGAAGAGUUCAGGAUGACUACGAUGCACAUACCAUUUGUUUAGUCUGGGAUGUUUUACUAUGAUAUAUUGACAUGUGUGUUUAAUAUGAUACUCUGAUUUGAUAUGAUGACUUAUGUUUUUGGAUAAAAUGUUUUGAUAACUAUGGUUUAUUUAAUAAUUAAAAAUAAAAUUUUUGGUCAUGAUUUUUUGGAUGUUACCAGUUGGUAUCAGAGCCUUGGUUUGAGGGAUUCGAAUACACUCUCGGGUGUGUCUGAACUCAAACUGAGGACUUGGUAUAAUUUUUUUUAUAAAGAAAACCAUUUUAUAAAAAAGAUCUAGAAAAGAGAAAAGGGUGUGGUACAUGCAAUCAGCUGAGCUUAAGUGAGUUCUCCCAAAUUACCCAUACAAGUUAUGUUAUGAUAUGAAUUGUGAAUAUAUGAAUUGCAUCCUAGAUUAGGGCUAAGGAUCUAGGAAGGAUGCCUUAUAUGCCUGCUAUAUGAGCUUUAUGAACUGCAUGCUAGUACUGAGCAAUCAGUGAUAUGAUGGCCUGAUUAGGAUAUGCUUGGUUAUGUUUACUUAAUGCUUGAAUGUUGCUUGCUUUGUACUUUUAGAAGUUUUAGUUAUCUUUGACUAACUAUUAAACAAAUAUGUUAAGUUACAUAUUACAAUGGCUAAAUAAUUUCAGAAGGUUAGGUUUAGCUCUAUUUCACAGCUCUUGUUUGAGUCUAACCGUUGUAAGGUAGGACCUCUCAUUCGAAGAAUUAUCUGGUCUUAAUGAUAUGUAAUGGUAUUCGCGAGUUAGUUAGGGGAGAUAGCAGAGACUACUUAUGCAACUGAUGGCAGAGAGUGGGUCGGAGAUUACCCUAGGGCAAGCCUAGGAUGAGAUUAGCGUAGAGAGCAGUAGUAGCGAAAUGUACUUGGUGGAGUCAAGGCAGUUCUUGAUGAAAGUACGGAUAGAUGUGGAAGGUAGUAUGGGCCCGUACUACUGAAAGCAGAGGAUCCAUACUCGAAUCAAGGAAGGCUAAGAUGAACCCAUGGAACAUGUAGUGUGUGUGAUCCCUCGAGUUAUGACGAGUGUACUGGUGUUUGUUAUGGUGUAUUUUCAGUAUGGUGACACUACGUACGAGACCAGUUGGCAGCUCUGGCACCGGCGAGGGAUCAGGCUCGGGAUCUGGAGUCGGGCAUCCCGAUGAUCAGAUGAGUGAGUUCAUCUCAUCAUUACUUAUCUACAUCAUUACCUAAUAUACAAAAGAUUAUAUAAAAUAACUACUAUAUGUACUGAAGCCGAUAAGCUUUAUAUGUUGGCUCUAGUUGUAGGGUACACGUUGAUGCUAGAGAAUGUGUAGAGUGUUUGACUCAUCAUAUCAUAAGGUGUGACCUUAUAAUCUCCCACUAUCUGAUGAUGUCAAAGCUAAUCUUCAAUGAAUUCUUCAGUUCGUGCUCCCUCUAAGACUAAGAAUGAAGUUUUAAUGUUUCAACUUUAACUAAUGCUCCCCCCUGAGAAUAUGAAUGACUUAUUAAGUAAUCGAGGCAUCAUUUAUGAAUCACAACGGACGAAGGAUGAAUAUGUAAAGGUGACGAGUUGGCAACUCUGGCACCGAUGAGGGAUCAGGCUCGGGCUUUGGAGCCGGCCAGCUCGAUGAUCAUAUGAGGGAGUUCAUUUCAUCAUUACUUAUCUACAUCAUUACCUAACAUACAAAAGAUUAUAUAGAAUAACCACUCUAUGCACUAGCUUUAUACGUUGGCGAUGGUUGUAGAGUACACGUUGAUGCUAGCGAAUGUGUAGAGUGUUUGACUCAUCAUAUCAUAAGGUAUGACCUUAUAAUCUCCCCCUAUAUGACGAUGUCAAAGCUAAUCUUCAAUGAAUUAUUCAGUUUGUGCUCCCCCUAAGACUAAGAAUGAAGUUUUAAUGUUUCAACUUUAACUAAUGCUCCCCCUGAGAAUAUGAAUGACUUGUCAAGUAAUUGAGACAUCAUUUAUGAAUCGCAACGGAUGGAGGAUGAAUAUGUGAAGGUGACGAGUUGGGCUGAAAGUGUGGAUCAGCUUGACCCAACUAGCUGAGAAUAUUGAUAUUAGCUUGACUCGACUCCCCCUUAGAUUGUGCUUUUAUGUAUAGAUUUUCUCCCCCUUUUUGACAUUAGCAGUAAACACAUGAAUAAAGUUGUUGUAGCUUGUAGUUUAGUAAGAUUAUGACGUCUCUUGAUAGUAUUGGCUUAAACUAUCAUUCACUAACAAUGUAUUGCGAGAUUCAUCAGCAUGUGGUUUCAUACGCUGACUCAUUAGUCACUUUUAUUAAAAGAAAAAGAGCAAUGAUUUUAUGUUGUGUGUAACACAUUCCGAUAUGAAAUGUACAAAUCGACAAAGAGUGUCGAAGUUUUAUCAGUGUAUGGAUGAAUUAUUGGGAAAGAGUAGGUAGGCGCGUGUAAUAUAUCACGCACAAUGAUAUACCCAUCGGCACAAAUUUUCGAAUUCUCAUCAGUGUCUAGUAUCAUACGCUGAAUCAUAAAAUUCUAAAUAAGAAUUUAUGGAAAGAAUAGUUUGAUGCGUGUGAUAAGCUGUGGUGUUUUAGCUUAACCAUCGACAUAGAUUUUUCAAGCUCUCAUCAGCGUGUGUACAUUACAUUGAACCAUAAAACUUCAAAGAAGAAUAUCAAGGCAAUAAUGGGUUGGUGCGUGUGAUAGCCUACAAUACAUAGACUAACCAUCGACACAUUGUUUCAAACUUUUAUUAGUGUGUGGUAUAUCACAGUGAAUCGUCGAGUUUUAUUAAAAAAAUUAAGGAAAUAAUAGAUUGUUUAAGUCACAAUGAUGUGGAAUCAACGUGAAUCAUAAACGGUGUUAACUCAUCAAAAAAAAGUGGUUCAAACUUCCGUAUCAUAUAGUUAAGUUGCAGUUUAGAACUAUAAAGUUCACCAUCAAUUCUUUAGAAUGGUAUAAAAAUAAUAAUAAAUAAUAUAAGAAUACAACAAAAAAAGUUAGUCAAAUAAGGAAAGGAAUAUACAACCUUGUUCAGAGGCUCUCUAUAUAGCCUUUUUCAGAAGAUGUUUUGUGAAAAAUAAAUCUUUUGAAGUAAUUACUCAUUUAUUAAAUUUCUUUGUUCGAGAUAUCUACCCUUCAAGAUUGGCUAUUAAUCACUGAAAUAUUCCAGAUGAACUUCAACCUUCAUAUUUAUCAAAGAACAAAAGAGAAGUAGAGAUCAGUCUUUGUAACCAACAAGUUAACUGACUCAAAUCCAUGAAACCAUUGUGUCCUCAAGAUUAACAUGAGGGCAUUUGAGGUUUUAUCAGAUCAAGAGUCAGUAGAUGAAAACAAGACCUACUACAUUGAUGGUUGCUCUUUGCAUCCAUAACAAUUAGUGGAGGAGAAAGAGUGUAUCCUCAAGAGGAAGAGGAUUUUCUCCUAACUAUCCCUAUUGAUGGCCCAGACCAGCAUAUGUCUAAUGUGGAGUACCAAACUAUCCUUCGUUACCGCCUCAUGAUUCCUCUAUUCUCGAUUGACGAGAUAUGCCUAGUUUGCUGCAAGGCAUUUUGGAUACAUGUAGGGAACAUGCAGUUCUUUGUACCUACAUGAUGUGGUUAGGGAUGUUCUCUUUGAUGUUUGUCGGCUGCUGAUAUUUUCGUGAAGAAAGAAAUGUUAGUGAACUUUUUGACGGACCCACUGGAUGGAAGAUCCACACUCAGGCCGACUGACAUUUUGGUCUUUAGAUAUGUAGGAGGGAAGCACGCUUGUGUGGAUCUUAUUGGGGUCUCCCCUUUCGUCGGUUUGAGAUGCGGGGGUUUCACAGUAGAGCAUGUCGCUUUGAAAGCUGCUGCAUGCAAAGUGGCAAAGCACGAGAAUGCAUGCAUAGAAAAUCACAUGUGCUUAUACCUUUUGCAUUUGAUACUUUUGGUUUUAUCGAACCAAAGACGAUGAAACUCCUCAACAAAGUUUAACAGAUCAUGCAUUAUAAUGUUAUAUCUUCAACAUCCACGUAUGUUGUUUUCAAAAGAAUUAGUUUUGUCAUUCAGAAAAAUUUAAUAACACAACUUAUUGUCCAUUUGCUUUCCGUCUAUAUGCAAUGAUUUUUUUUUUUUUUUAUCAUCAAUUUAAAUUGGAAUUUGAUUUAUUCAAAUGUAUUAUUUUCAAAACAAAUCAAAUGGUUAACAUUGAUUUACUCAAGUAAGCCGAUACAAGCCCAUUGGGUCAAAAGAACGGGGUUCAUCCAUUGAUUCCAUUCUAUGAUUAUAUCCUAACACCAUCUGACGGCUCACAAAGCAUCACCAUCAUCACAAAGACCUCCAUCCUUCUCUUAUAAUAAGCCUCUUCACCUCGCCACAUCAACAAGUAACCCUAGCUAAACAUACAACCAUCAUCAAGUCACACCCCCUUCAACCCUCUCAAAUCUAGGGUUUUUUUUUUGUCUAAAUUUCAAAUGUCAAGACAUCAUAGAUUUGUAGCUCUCGUAGCCGACGAUUUACAAAAAUUUGGGGCGAAAUAGUUGAUGUUCGUAAAACUCAAUGGUAAAUCGUCGCAAAUCGAGCCGUCUCUGUGAUCACAGCGGUUGAGCCGCCCUUCGCCGGGCGGUUCCCGUUAACCGGAGAAGGCGUUGUCACAUCCUAUCGCCUUGGGGAGCGGAGUCUCUGCAAUUACCUCUUGGGAUUGGCCGUGAGAAAGACAUUCACUAAUCGUUUGAAUUCCAUACUUGAAAUCGGCCUGUGAUGAAAUCUAUUUAAAAGAACACCAUCUUUCGGGACUGAAUGGUCUUUCUCGAGAUCUUGAUGUCAAUUCUGCAAUUCUGAGGCCAUUUUUCUGUGAUUUUUUUUUAAUUUAAAAUGUUGUAACAAAUGCGUACUGUAUUUGAAUUCGAAUGUGGAUUCAAGUACCAAUAAUCAUCAUUCAUCAAAUUCCUUUUGCUAUCAGAAUGAAGAAUUUUUUCAAACAAUAUGAACACUUUCCUGAAUUUCUGUCUUUCAUAAAAUGCAUCGAUGAAACUCUGAAUUCUCAAUUGAUAGCUUGUUUGUUACCGAUUAUUUACAAAAUGUUUGGGGCAAGUUAGUUUAUAUUAGAAUAGUAUGUCCUUUUGGGCUAUUAAAUGAUCCCAUGUUAAUAUUUUAGAGCACAAUGCACAAAAUCAAAUUUAUGCAUGAACAAAUCCGGUGUCGUUUUCCUCAAGCUUUCGUGAUUUCACCAUCAUAUUACAUGUAUAUCAAAGUGAAUGUUUCCAUAUCCAUUUUUGAUUAAAUGUUUAUUGCAUAAUAGCAUUGAAAAUGUAGACACUGUGUAGAAAAUGGACUUUUAGGUUAAAAAGCAUUCCCAAACGCCACUAAAAGCAAAUACUUUAUUUAAAACAAAGCCUAAAACAUAUUCAUGCUUUAAACAAAUACUUUUACUUUAAUGAAUCAGAAAUAUUAUGAAUUUAAGUAGGCAUGUUUACUUGUAUAUAUAACUAUUAACAUUUUAAUAAUAUUUUUAUUUGUUCACUUUGGGUUUAGCGGCCUUGAAGGUUGUAUCUUUGAAUAUAGUUGUAUUAUCUUUUUUAGAAUUUUGUAGCUUUGUUUGUGGUUAAUGGUGCCAUUAGAAAUUUGAAGUAUACUACCUAAACAACAUUAGGAGUUGGAUCAUUUUUUGUUAGAAUGUCUAAUAACCGUAGAUCACAAACAUCUCUUACCAUCUUUUUUGCCAUAAAAAAGGUUGUUUGUGAUUUGGAGUGGUUAGACAUGAAAGACGAUCAAUUCCAUGUUUGCUUGAUUUGAAGUCUAUAUAUAAUUUCUAAGACCAUCCAUAUGAAAUCAAUGAAUGAGUUUAAUGAGUUGAAAUGUCUAGUUAUAAUUUCUAAGACCAUCUUAUUGUGAUGUAAUUUUAUCGUAAUGAGAUUUUAUCUCGAUAGAUUUGGAGGUUAAUGGUCAUUGAGUUAUUUAAUGAAAAAAGGAAAAGUUUUUUAAUUUUAAAUAUUUAUUAUAAAUCAAUUUUUGUAUCUUUUUAUUGAAAUUUGUAGAGUUUAAUGCAUAAUAGGAUAAGAUGAUAGAGUUAUAUGGAGUGUAAAAAAAUUAUGUGAUAUUCCAUUAAGUUUUAUGGACUUCAAUGCAUUGUGGAUACCAUAAGACUUCAAAGCAAGUGUGAAAGUCUAUGUGGCAUCCCAAGGGAAGCUUCAAAUCAAGUGUGGAUAACUUGAUGCUUCAAAUCAAGUGUGAAAGUCUAUGUGGCAUCCCAAGGGACGUUGGAACCCCCAAGGGUCUAGUUUGGCAUCUCCAUGAGGACGAAUGAAAACACCUUAUAAGAAAUUAGCGGCAACAUCGAUCAUUCUUUUUUUUUUCUUUUUUCUUUCUACCUCUUCACCACCAAUCUACCGGCGAACAUCAUUUCUACUACCUAGUCGAUUAGUUGUGGAAUGGUAAAAAAUCUAUGUGACCGUAGGGUUGUGCCAUUUGCGACUUCGGCAUUUGAAUUGUGAAGAUACAAACAAGUAAAGUAGGGUUGUGCAUUGUGGGUUGUAUGUUCGCAGAUGGAAUUCAAUUUGUUACUAUUUUUUUGUACACAUAAAGAUAGUUCUUGUAGCCGACGAUUUACAAAAUAUUGGGGCGAAAUAGUUGAUAUUCGUAAAACUCAAUGGUAAAUCGUUGCAAAUCUAGCCGUCUUUGUGAUCACAGCGGUUGAGCCGCCCUUUGCCGGGCAGUCCCCGUUAACCGGAGAAGGCGUUGUCACAUCCUAUCGCCUUGGGGAGCGGAGUCUCUGCAAUUACCUCUUGGGAUUGGCCGUGAGAAAGACAUUCACCAAUCGUUUAAAUUCCAUACUUGAAAUCGGCCUGUGAUGAAAUCUAUUUAAAAGAACACCAUCUUUCGGGACUGAAUGGUCUUUCUCGAGAUCUUGAUGUCAAUUCUGCAAUUCUGAG